CCCUUAGAUGUUCUGGGCCGCACGCGCGCUACACUGAUGCAUUCAACGAGUUUCUUCCUGGUCCGAGAGGAAUGGGUAACCUUUUGAAAGUGCAUCGUGAUAGGGAUAGACUAUUGCAAUUAUUGGUCUUCAACGAGGAAUUCCUAGUAGAGGUAGUUCAUCAGACUGCAUCGAUUACGUCCCUGCCCUUUGUACACACCGCCCGUCGCUCCUACCGAUUGAAUGCUCAGGUGAGCCAUUCGGACUUUCAUCAUGCUGGUUUCCAGUUUUGAUGAAGGAAAGUCUUGCGAACCUUAUCAUUUAGAGGAAGGAGAAGUCGUAACA
rnacentral:rRNA from 1 species